rnacentral:rRNA from 1 species
GACGUAGGGUGCAAGCGUUGUCCGGAUUUACUGGGCGUAAAGAGCGCGUAGGCGGUCUUGUAAGUGUGAAGUGAAAUCUCCAGGGCUCAACCCGGAAACUGCUUUGCAUACUGCGAGACUUGAGGGAUGCAGAGGUUUGUGGAAUUCCUGGUGUAGCGGUGAAAUGCGUUGAUAUCUGGAGGAACACCGGUGGCGAAGGCGGCAUCCUGGACCAAUUCUGACGCUGAGGAGCGAAAGCCAGGGGAGCAAACGGG